rnacentral:ncRNA from 2 species
GUGAUAGGGUUGUGCAUCGGUUCCCAGGUGAUCAGGCCUGGGAGGUAACGGGGAAAGUCCGGUGAGAAUCCGGCGCUGUCCCGCAGCUGUAAGAGGUGCAGCCAGUGGCUUGCCUUGAGUCAGAACGCCCGCCGAAUUCACCCCCAUCCC